UUUUAUGUUUUUUCCCAACGAAUUGAAUAGUUGGUUGUGAAGGAUUCAAAAUGAUAAUUAAAUGAAUUAUUUGUCUCUUAAUAGUUAACAAUAAAUUGAACAGAUUUCUUAAUAUGUUUUGAAUUGUCUCUUAAUAGGGCACCUCUUCACAGAUGUAGAGCUGUCAACAUCCGGAUGAUAUACCAGAGUCAUAUAAUAUAUCAUCAGAUAAAUUUAAAUAGAAAUGUAUAAAGUAAGAUUCAAACCAUGAACCUCAGAAACCUUAAUAGUAACUGAGACCAAUGAGCCAACCUUACUUUGUCAUAAUUUUGAAUUUGAU
rnacentral:lncRNA from 1 species